rnacentral:rRNA from 1 species
GAUGAACGCUAGCGGCAGGCUUAACACAUGCAAGUCGAGGGGCAGCGCGGUGUAGCAAUACACUGGCGGCGACCGGCGCAAGGGUGCGUAACGCGUGAGCGACAUACCCGUGACUGGGGCAUAACCGAUGGAAACGUCGCCUAAUUCCCCAUAAUACAAGGGACCGCAUGAUUCCUUGUUGAAAACUUCGGUGGUCACGGAUUGGCUCGCGUCCCAUUAGCUAGUCGGCGGGGUAACGGCCCACCGAGGCGACGAUGGGUAGGGGUUCUGAGAGGAAGGUCCCCCACAAUGGAACUGAGACACGGUCCAUACUCC